UACGUAGGGGGCGAGCGUUGUCCGGAGUUACUGGGCGUAAAGGGCAUGCAGGCGGUCCGACGCGUUUUUGUGUGACAGCGGGUGGCUUAACUACCCGAGGAUGCAAAAGACGGUGGGACUUGAGGACUCGAGAGGGACACGGAAUUCCGGGUGGAGUGGUGAAAUGCGUAGAGAUCCGGAGGAACACCGAAGGCGAAGGCAGUGUCCUGGCGAGUGACUGACGCUGAGGUGCGAAAGCCAGGGGAGCGAACGGG
rnacentral:rRNA from 1 species